GAUAAUCAACAUUUGAGCUCCUGGAAGGGAGCCAUAAACAAGUGGCAGACUUCCGUGGAGCUUCAUCGAUUCGUGUUCACUGAGCCUCAUUCAUUAGGGCAGUUGGGAAGCAGCAGGUGUACACACGUGUGCACAUGUGUGUAUUCCAAGGGGUGUAAGGACGAGAGAUUGGUCCAAGCAUCCUACCAAUGUGACUUCUGCUUCAUCCCAAGAUGAGUCAGAGGCUUUCAAAGUAUUGAAGAAAAUAGGAAACGCUCCCCUAGUUCAUGACGUAAAGCAGGAAGAAGCUUGAAGUGGGGCAGGCUGGGUUCCGGGUGCUGCACAAAAGCCCCAAAUAAAAACAGAGCCUUUUCAGCCCAGAAAGAAAGCCACCUUGUCCGCUGCCCAGGCUGGAAAAGACACGGUCCAGAACAUUUAUUCUGCCAUGCUUCAGUCUUUCAGGCAGAAAAAGCCCUGGCAGGAGUUGAUUUUGCAAGUUGAACAGAGAAGACUCGUCUUUGGAGUGGAGGGGAUCAAAUGAUACUAGAUGUGAAAGCACUUUGGAAAGUUAAAGGGAUUAUACAAAGGUUUGUGGCAACCCCGUGUCAAGCACGUCUAUCGGCGCCAUUUUUCCAACAGCAUUUGCUCACUUCGUGUCUCUGUGUCACGUUAUGGCACGAUGCUAAUCGCUCCAGGAGAUGAUCUCUUUUCGUCCUCCCAACCGUCUAUGUGCCAAAAGCAGGCUCAAGGAGCCAUGCCCUGAUGAGACUUUGUCGAUCUACUUCUUGGCUCUGUUUCAGGCCUACAUCAGUCAAAGUCAAAUUGUUGCUGCCUUUAGCAACAAUUGGUCACAUCUGGUCCUCGGUCCUGAACUAGCCUCACUAUGUGGAAUCCUUCCAGAUCGAGAAGAGCCACAUGAAAUAAAUAAUAUUUUUGACAUAUUUAUUGCACUUUGCAUUUUAUAGAGGUUUCAGUAUUUCCUUCUACAUGCUUCAGCAUCUAGUAUGUGCCAAGCCUGGCACAAGCAGCGUGAUAGAGCUGUGAAGGCAACAGACAAGAUCUGCGUCCUCAUGAAGCCUACAAGGAAACAAGUACAAUAAUUUCAGAUUGUGGUGAGUGACGUGCAGGAAAUAGAUAAGGCAAUGAAACAGAGAGUAACCAGCCAACUGCAGUAGGAAGACUUCUUAAGACCUGAUGGUCAGGGAAGGCCUCUUUGAAGAGGUGACCUUUUCUCAGUUGUAACUUGCAUCUAUUUUUUCUAUUAUUGAAAAAUGUACAUAACAUAAAAUUUACCAUUUUAACCAUUUUUAGUGUAUAGUUCAGUAGCAUUAAGUACAUUCACAUUGCUAUUCAACUAUCAUUACCUUCCAUCUCCAGAAUUUUUCAUCAUCCCAAACCUAAAUUCCAUAUCCAUUGAACACUAACUCCCCACUCCUCUCUCCCCCCAGCCCCAAUGACCACCAUUAUGCUUUCUGCCUAUGAAUUUGACUACUCUUGGUACCUCACAGAAUUAAAAUCAUACAAUAUUUGU